rnacentral:rRNA from 1 species
UGAACGCUGGCGGCGUGCCUAAUACAUGCACGUCGAGCGAACGGACGAGAAGCUUGCUUCUCUGAUGUUAGCGGCGGACGGGUGAGUAACACGUGGAUAACCUACCUAUAAGACUGGGAUAACUUCGGGAAACCGGAGCUAAUACCGGAUAAUAUUUUGAACCGCAUGGUUCAAAAGUGAAAGACGGUCUUGCUGUCACUUAUAGAUGGAUCCGCGCUGCAUUAGCUAGUUGGUAAGGUAACGGCUUACCAAGGCAACGAUGCAUAGCCGACCUGAGAGGGUGAUCGGCCACACUGGAACUGAGACACGGUCCAGACUCCUACGGGAGGCAGCAGUAGGGAAUCUUCCGCAAUGGGCGAAAGCCUGACGGAGCAACGCCGCGUGAGUGAUGAAGGUCUUCGGAUCGUAAAACUCUGUUAUUAGGGAAGAACAUAUGUGUAAGUAACUGUGCACAUCUUGACGGUACCUAAUCAGAAAGCCACGGCUAACUACGUG